rnacentral:rRNA from 1 species
AUUGAACGCUGGCGGCAUGCUUUACACAUGCAAGUCGAACGGUAACAGGCCGCAAGGUGCUGACGAGUGGCGAACGGGUGAGUAAUGCAUCGGAACGUGCCCAGUCGUGGGGGAUAACGCAGCGAAAGCUGUGCUAAUACCGCAUACGCUCUAUGGAUGAAAGCGGGGGACCGUAAGGCCUCGCGCGAUUGGCGCGGCCGAUGUCGGAUUAGGUAGUUCGUGGGGUAAAGGCCUACCAAGCCGACGAUCUGUAGCUGGUCUGAGAGGACGACCAGGCACACUGGGACUGGGACACGGCCCAGACUCCGACGGGAGGCAGCAGUGGGGAAUGUUGGACAAUGGGCGCAAGCCUGAUCCAGCAAUGCCGCGUGCAGGAAGAAGGCCUUCGGGUUGUAAACUGCUUUUGUACGGAACGAAACGGCCUGGGUUAAUACCCUGGGCUAAUGACGGUACCGUAAGAAUAAGCACCGGCUAACUACGUGCCAGCCGCCGCAGUAAUAC